rnacentral:rRNA from 1 species
AAGUCGUAACAAGGUUUCCGUAGGUGAACCUGCGGAAGGAUCAUUAAAGAUGUUCAACGGAUGUGCUGGCGUCUAACACCGCAUGUGCACUCCAUAACACAUUUACACACCUGUGAACCUCGGACCGUGCCAUCACUUCUGGGAUGGCAUGCGUUCAAACCUUUGCAAAACCCUUUGAAACAAGCUCUGGAACAUUGAUGCUAUAGUUAAAACAACCAUCAGCAACGGAUCUCUUGGCAUUCCAAUCGAUGAAGAACGUAGCGAAUUGCGAUAAGUAAUGUGAAUUGCAGAAUUCAGUGAAUCAUCGAAUCUUUGAACGCACCUUGCGCCCUCUGGUAUUCCGGAGGGCAUGCCCGGUUGAGUGUCAUGAAUAUCUCAACCCCAACACUUUGUUUGAAAGUCCCAUUGAUGUGCCGGCUGGCCUAGCGAGGCUGCUGUAGCAUUCCUUGCGACUGAAGUGUUGGGGCUUGGACUUGAGCUCUGUUGGCCUUUGUGUUGACUGGCUUGAAAUUGAUCAGCGAUGCGUGAUCCCUUGGGUCCAUCUCGGCGUGAUAAGUUGAUCGUCGCAAAGGACUUUCUUGGGUGUGGCUCGCUUCUAAUCGUCUUAGGACAGCUUUUGACAUUUACACCUCAACUCGGGUAGGACUACCCGCUGAACUUAA